AGCGAACGCUGGCGGCAGGCUUAACACAUGCAAGUCGAACGGGCACUUCGGUGCUAGUGGCAGACGGGUGAGUAACGCGUGGGAACGUGCCUUUCGGUUCGGAAUAAUCCAGGGAAACUUGGACUAAUACCGGAUACGCCCUUCGGGGGAAAGAUUUAUCGCCGAAAGAUCGGCCCGCGUCGGAUUAGCUAGUUGGUGAGGUAAAGGCUCCCCAAGGCGACGAUCAGUAGCUGGUCUGAGAGGAUGAUCAGCCACAUUGGGACGGAGACACGGCCCAAACUCCUACGGGAGGCAGCAGUGGGGGAUAUUGGACAAUGGGCGCAAGCCUGAUCCAGCCAUGCCGCGUGAGUGAUGAAGGCCUUAGGGUUGUAAAGCUCUUUUGUCCGGGAAGAUAAUGACUGUACCGGAAGAAUAAGCCCCGGCUAACCUCGUGCCAGCAGCCGCCGUAAUAC
rnacentral:rRNA from 1 species